AGUAAGGUAAUUCGGAACUUUUACGCGAGACCUUUGUCUGCCAGAAACUAUAUUGGUUGCAACAGAUGGACAAGAGUGAGCAAGGCGGCAUAACCAUUAGAAAACAAAACAAAAAACCCCACAACUCCUUCAACUGACCUUUGUAGUCACCAGAAGAUAUUCGUGCUGUAUCCCGUAAUCAAAGAGGCUGAAUCAGUAACCAAAAGGUUGAAAUCAGGGCAAAUGGAUGAUUAAUCCAACGAGAAUCAAAUCUGGGUCCCACCAUGGAUUGGUCCACCGUUGUUAGGUCUCCUUACUCUCCUCCAUUUUGUGGCUGUUCCUUAUCUUUCAUGACCUGGACACUCUGGAACAACACUGAAGAGGGGAAUUUGGACACAUACAGGGAGAAUAUCACGUGAAGACUGAGGCAGAAAUUGCAGUAAUAGAUCUAGAAGCCAAUGAAUGCCAAGAAUUGCCAGAAGCUAGAAAAGAGAAUGGAACGCAUUCUCCCUUCAAGCCUCCAGAAGGAAUCAACCUUGUCAACACCUUAAUUUCAGACUUCUAGCCACCAGAACUGUGAGAGAAUAAA